GAGGCUGGCAGGUGGCAGGGAGGUCUGCGACAGCUGCUCGGAAGCAGUUUGCUCUGUGCAGACAGGUGUUCGCGCUUGCAGAGGCAGCUGGGUGGCAGGCGUCAGUCACGGCUAGAAAGCACGAAACGCGAUCACACUUUUCCUCAGCGCCAGUGUGGAAAUCAGUGCUCUGAGCGUUGCCAUGAAGGAAUUCCUGCCUCUCCUGUCCCUACUCGUGGCUCCGAGAUGGGCUCUGGCCCAGAUUUUCCAGCCCCCUUGGCUCACAUACGUGGAAGAAGAAAGGAUCUUGAUCCCAUGCAGCCAAAAUGCCACCUCCCAUGACAUGAUGUCUUGGUACAAACAGCCCCAGCAGGGCCAGGGGGCACCGAGCUUUCUAGGGAUUGGGCAUGACGGCUCCUCCACCGCCGGAGAAUUCACCAUGGCUGUGGACAAGGCCGCCCGCUCCACCAACCUCACCCGAGGUGGAGCCAGCCUGAGUGACGCCGGCAUCUACUACUGCACCGUGAGAGACACAGCGAGGGGAACCCAAGUGCCAGCUGCACAGAAACCCACAGCCUGGCUUCCUGCUGGGCCCUCCUGA